GAUGAAGAACGUAGCGAAAUGCGAUAAGUAGUGUGAAUUGCAGAAUUCAGUGAAUCAUCGAAUCUUUGAACGCACAUUGCGCCCCUUGGUAUUCCAUGGGGCAUGCCUGUUCGAGCGUCAUUUGUACCUUCAAGCUUUGCUUGGUGUUGGGUGUUUGUCUCGCCUUUGCGUGUAGACUCGCCUUAAAAUAAUUGGCAGCCGGCGUAUUGAUUUCGGAGCGCAGUACAUCUCGCGCUUUGCACUCAUAACGACAGCGUCCAAAAGUACAUUUUACACUCUUGACCUCGGAUCAGGUAGGGAUACCCGCUGAACUUAAGCAUACAAAAGCGGAGGA
rnacentral:misc_RNA from 1 species